rnacentral:rRNA from 1 species
GACGAACGCUGGCGGCGUGCCUAAUACAUGCAAGUCGAACGCUGAAGGAGGAGCUUGCUUCUCUGGAUGAGUUGCGAACGGGUGAGUAACGCGUAGGUAACCUGCCUGGUAGCGGGGGAUAACUAUUGGAAACGAUAGCUAAUACCGCAUAAUAGUAGAUGUUGCAUGACAUUUGCUUAAAAGGUGCAAUUGCAUCACUACCAGAUGGACCUGCGUUGUAUUAGCUAGUUGGUGGGGUAACGGCUCACCAAGGCGACGAUACAUAGCCGACCUGAGAGGGUGAUCGGCCACACUGGGACUGAGACACGGCCCAGACUCCUACGGGAGGCAGCAGUAGGGAAACUUCGGCAAUGGACGGAAGUCUGACCGAGCAACGCCGCGUGAGUGAAGAAGGUUUUCGGAUCGUAAAGCUCUGUUGUAAGAGAAGAACGAGUGUGAGAGUGGAAAGUUCACACUGUGACGGUAUCUUACCAGAAAGGGACGGCUAACUACGUG